GUCAACUACCCACCACUAAGUCUAUAAGACUUGAAGUGGGGGCUUGUUAAAAGCCCUAGUUGUCUAGCCUAAGGCUUAACUGACUACGUUAGAAUGUUGCAUACCGUGGGAUGAUUCCCUAGUCCCACGCUCUAUG
rnacentral:sRNA from 17 species